rnacentral:rRNA from 1 species
UACGAAGGGGACUAGCGUUGUUCGGAAUCACUGGGCGUAAAGCGCACGUAGGCGGAUUUGUAAGUCAGGGGUGAAAUCCCGGGGCUCAACCUCGGAACUGCCUUUGAUACUGCGAGUCUUGAGUCCGAAUAGAGGUGGGUGGAAUUCCUAGUGUAGAGGUGAAAUUCGUAGAUAUUCGGAAGAACACCAGUGGCGAAGGCGGCUCACUGGCCCCGU